rnacentral:misc_RNA from 1 species
GCCGGGCGAUUCACUUGCGCAGGAGCAAAAUCCGAGCCGGGCGAGUAGGGAGCCGGGGACACGCGUGGGAGCAGGGGCCUCGGCAGAGCGCGGCGAGCUGAGGCCAAGCGCCAGCCAUGGGAGUUCCGAGCGUGAGCAGGGGCGAGCAAGGAGAUGGAUGCUGAGCUCGCGCGCGCGACGCUGGGAAGAAGACGAGGGCGCGCUGCAGGGGCACACGACGGCCAUGGGAACUGAGCGCGCGGCGCUGGGUGAGGACGCUCGGUCCGAGCAGGAGCCUUGGUUAGGUGCUGCCGGAUGGACGCCAUGGGAGGGAGCUCCGCGAGCUGGAGGGAGCAGAGGAGGCGCCGAGCUUGAGGACGGCGGUGACGAGAUCCGAGCGUGGCGAGAAGGGAGAUGGAGCAGGGAGGGAAAAGCUCUGCGCGAAGGGGAACUCGACAGCAGGGCACGCGGCGAGGAGGCUCCAGGGAGCUUGGGGAAGACCACGGCGCGCUGGGAAAUGGGAGGAGGAAAGAGGAGCGGCCGAGGUGGAAGAAAGGCAGGGCGCCUGCGACUGGAAGCCGAGAACGAAGGAGCUU